rnacentral:tRNA from 10 species
CAUUUUCUAGAGAAUUACUGUUUGCCAAGCAUCGUUCAGUGCACCAUGGGUAUGCAGAACUAGGAAGAAAGAAAGUUGGCCUUCAAAAUCCUAAAUUUGUGAGGAGGACAAAGUACACAGAUAUGAACCAACUUAUCUGAGGAGUAUCUGAACAGGAUUUUUUAUUUGACUGCAUUUGCAAGGCUGGCACCCACAGAGACAUAGACUUUUCAUUUAAAAUUCAGCCCUUCUGUGAGAUGCUGAGUGAUGUUCUUGGAACCAGACAAAAUUGACCGGAAUUUGUGAAAAGGUGGUUUCCUCACUGGUUCCUCAAAUAAUGCAGAAUUUUACAACUAAAUUCCACCAAGAAGGAGGAGCUAAAUUGCCCCAGAAGCUGUUUUCUUUUCUUUGCAUUUUUUACACUCUGAUGGCCCCAUGUAUAUUUUUUGGAGGAGUAUUAAAAUGAUUGAUUUAGUUCUGUCCUUCCUUUCUUAAAUAAAAUGAGAAGGUCCAGUGAUUAGCUGCUGGUCCCCAAGCUAGCUGGCAGCUCAAUUAAGGCUGACGAUUACUGUCACAUCCUCUGGCCCAGCGUUUUUCUGUUGGUGAAGAAGCUCAUACUACAUACGUAAACAUUUGUUUUAUGUCUGGGUCUCUACUCAGUACAAAACUUUAUUAGUCAGAGUUUUCCAGAAAAAAAAAAACCAGAGAUUUAGUACAAGGAAUUGGUUCAUGCAGUUAUGGAGCUUGGGAAACCCCACAAUUUGCUGUCUUCAAACUGGAGACCAAGGAAAGAUAGUGUAAAUCCUAGAAUCUGAGUUGGAGUCUUGGUCUGAGUCUGAAGGCCUGAGAGCUUGCAGCACUGUUAAUGUAAAUCCUAGUCAGAGCCCAGAAGACUGAUGCCGCACUUAAGCAGUCAGGCAGAAGAGGAGGCAAAUUUUCCCUUCACUUGCUGUUUGCUGUACUUAGGCCCUCCAUGGGUUGGAUGAGGCUCAGCUAUAUUGCAGAGGGCAAUCAAUAUUACUGAGUCUACUACUUCAAAUGCUAAUCUCAUUUGGAAACAUACCAUACAGACAUACCCAGAAAUAAUGUUUAGCCAAAUAUCUAGGCACCCCAUAAUCCAGUCAAGUUGACACAUAAAAUUAUCCAUCACAAAGCCAGACUGCUGAUAUCUGCAUGCUGCCCUCUGGAAUGGCCCCAAAAUGAAUCAAAGGCACUCUUUUUUUUUUUAGCAAUACAAAAUGUGGUAUAUAAGUAAAAUUAAUCACAUUGUGAUAUGUCCCUUUGUGAUUCAUGAAGUCAAAAUGAGAUUCUUAGGAUAUAAAUGUGAACGGUAAUAAUAAAAAAAAGUAAUUUUGUCAAAAGAAUGAUUACAACUCUGAAAAAAUCUGUAAAAGGAUAACUAGAAGAAAACAGAUAAACAGCAACUCUUUUUUGUUUUCAUUUUUUUUAGUGUUGAACUUUUUAAAUUGAUUUCUUUUAAGGUUAUUACAAUGUUAUUUGUACAACAAAAUAUUGGAAAUAAAAUAUGGUUUCACAAGUUACAGAUAUACAGAUACCUGCUUUACAGCUGACAUACUCAAUACCACUCAUAAAGAAAUGUGCAUUAUCAUAUAGAAUUAUUUUUAAAAAUUCAAAAAUGUUUUUAACUUUUAUUUUAAGUUCAGGGGUACAGGUGCAGGUUUGUUACGUAGGUAAACUUGUGUCAUGGGAAUUUGUUGUACAGACUAUUUCAUCACCCAGGUAUUAAGCCUAGUACUUAGGGCUCCAGUAACCACAACAAUAUGGUAUUGUACAUUCAAAAUUUAAAUAAAUCCUAUAGCGUUUAAAGUUCUAGUCUCAUGAGUUUAAAUAUUAUCAAUUCUGCUGAAAAUGCACCCAUUUCCAUCUCCUGUUUAAUUUCACCCUUUAUAUUGCAGAUUAUGCCUACUUGAGCCCUGUCCUGGGCUUUUUCUCAGAUUUCUGAGAGUUAACAUGUUCAAAGGUUGAAUUCUCCACUCCCACCCCCAGCCUCACAUCCCUGAGUCUUCCUCAUCCGAGCAAAUGGCAACUCCACUCUUCCAGAUACUCAGGACCUAAAACUUGAGGCUACACUUUUCCUAAUCCUCUGUUGUAUCCUGUGAGCAAAUCACCAGCAAAGCCUGUUAAUAUACAUGUUUUCAAAAUAUAUUAGGGUUAUGAGACCUUCCCACUCCCUUUAUUACUAAACCUUCAGCCAUCAUUUUCUGGCUUUACUAUUGUGAUAACCUCUCAAUAAACCCCAGCUUUCUCUCUUCCCUUCGUGUACAAUGUGGUCCCACAGAGAAAAUACUCACAUUUUGGCCACUUUAUAUUCAAAAACACACCCAUUACUCCCCUUCUCACUUGGAGCAAAUGCCUCCAAGCCCUGAAGGCCAUUGUCCCUCUCCCUUUACUACCCCAUCCCCAUUCCUUUAAUCCAAGUCUCCAGCUCUGCUUGCAAAUAUCCCACUAUGCUGGGAUCCCACUAUGCUGCCUCCCUUGUGACUGCACAAUAAAUGCUCCCCCUGAUACCUCAAUGGCUUGUUCCAUCCAUUUCUUUCUGUCUCCACUGAAAUUUUGUUUCAUCAAAACUGCCGAUAAGAAGCACCCUAAAAAAAUAGCAACUGCACCACCUCACUCUGCAUUCCCCUUUUCCUGCUUUGUUUAUAACCCUUAGCAAACCCGACAUUCUAUUUAUUUAUCUAUUUAUUUAACUAUCUCUCCUUAUGCAAAUCCAUGCUCCCCAAGAAAAGGAUAUAUUUUUUCCUAUUAUGUUCCUAAUACCUGGAAUAAUGCUUAGCAUAUAGUAGUACUAAAAAAAUACUAGCUAUAAACAAUAAUUCUCUUUUUCUUCAUUUCAGUAUUGUUUGUCCGAUAGUAAGAUCUAGUGAUUUGCAGGUAUCCGAAAUGCCACAUUCCAUAUUUAAAAACCUGAAAUCCAGUUGACAUAAUUUUAAGAUAUAUUAUAUCCACAAUUUCAUGAAUUU